rnacentral:rRNA from 1 species
CCUACGGGUGGCAGCAGUGGGGAAUAUUGCACAAUGGGGGAAACCCUGAUGCAGCGACGCCGCGUGAGUGAAGAAGUAAUUCGUUAUGUAAAGCUCUAUCAGCAGGGAAGAAAAUGACGGUACCUUAGUAAGAAGCCCCGGCUAACUACGUGCCAGCCGCCGCGGUAAUACGUAGGGGGCAAGCGUGAUCGGGAUUUACUGGGUGUAAAGGGAGGGUAGACGGUAGUGCAAGUCUGGAGUGAAAGGCGGGGGCUAAACCCUCGGACUGCUCUGGAAACUGGACGGCUGGAGUGCAGGAGAGGUAAGUGGAAUUCCUAGUGUAGCGGUGAAAUGCGUAGAGAUUAGGAGGAACACCAGUGGCGAAGGCGGCUUACUGGACUGUAACUGACGUUGAGGCGCGAAAGCGUGGGGAGUAAACAGGAUUAGAUACCCGUGUAGUC